GAUGAACGCUGGCGGCGUGCCUAAUACAUGCAAGUCGAGCGAACAGACGAGGAGCUUGCUCCUCUGACGUUAGCGGCGGACGGGUGAGUAACACGUGGAUAACCUACCUAUGAGACUGGGAUAACUUCGGGAAACCGGAGCUAAUACCGGAUAAUAUCUUGAACCGCAUGGUUCAAUAGUGAAAGACGGUUUUGCUGUCACUUAUAGAUGGAUCCGCGCCGCAUUAGCUAGUUGGUAAGGUAACGGCUUACCAAGGCGACGAUGCGUAGCCGACCUGAGAGGGUGAGCGGCCACACUGGAACUGAGACACGGUCCAGACUCCUACGGGAGGCAGCAGUAGGGAAUCUUCCGCAAUGGGCGAAAGCCUGACGGAGCAACGCCGCGUGAGUGAUGAAGGUCUUCGGAUCGUAAAACUCUGUUAUUAGGGAAGAACAAAUGUGUAAGUAACUAUGCACGUCUUGACGGUACCUAAUCAGAAAGCCACGGCUAACUACGUGCCAGCCGCCGCAGUAA
rnacentral:rRNA from 1 species